CCCUUUCCGGGCGGGCAGGCGGCGGACCCCAGUGUCUUUAUCCCUCUUUUGCACAGUCAGCUUCUGCAGCUCUCCCGGGCUAGCAUGGCAGCGUGGAAGAGUUGGACGGCCCUGCGGCUCUGCGCCACAGUUGUUGUACUUGAUAUGGUCGUCUGUAAAGGAUUUGUAGAAGAUUUAGAUGAAUCGUUUAAAGAAAAUCGAAAUGAUGACAUUUGGCUUGUAGAUGCAUUGCUUCAGAGUUUGGAGUUCGAGGUUAUCCAACAAUUAAGCUAUUAAAAGGGGACUUGGCAUAUAAUUAUAGAGGACCACGAACAAAAGAUGAUAUUAUUGAGUUUGCUCACAGAGUAUCUGGGGCUCUAAUUCGGCCACUUCCAAGUCAACAAAUGUUUGAACAUAUGCAGAAGAGACACCGUGUAUUUUUCGUUUAUGUAGGUGGAGAAUCACCUUUGAAAGAGAAAUACAUAGAUGCUGCUUCAGAAUUGAUUGUAUAUACAUACUUCUUUUCUGCCUCAGAAGAAGUGGUUCCUGAG
rnacentral:lncRNA from 1 species